UACGAGGGGGGCGAGCGUUGUUCGGAAUUAUUGGGCGUAAAGGGUGCGUAGGCGGUUUGGUAAGUCUCUUGUGAAAUCUAUGGGCUCAACUCAUAGUCUGCAAGGGAAACUGCCGGGCUUGAGUGUGGGAGAGGUGAGUGGAAUUUCCGGUGUAGCGGUGAAAUGCGCAGAUAUCGGGAAGAACACCCGUGGCGAAGGCGGUUCUCUGGGACGGUACUGACGCUGAGACGCGAAAGCGUGGGGAGCGAACAGG
rnacentral:rRNA from 1 species